ensembl:lncRNA
UGCAAAGACACGCUCCAACCUCCUUUUGCUUCAUAGUUAUCAGUUUACCAUACCGAAAUACUUUACCAAAUAAAGUAACUGUUAAAAGCUAUCCUUUGGAUUUGAUCACUUUCCUUGAAGAAUGCUGCAAUAAUUUGGUGACCCUUCGACGUUCUUGGACAGUCCCGAGACCCGCGAGCAUGUGACCACCGAGACGCAAAACAAGCUCUUCGCAGGCCACUCAGAAAUUAGUUCUUUCCCGCGAUUCAAAUCCUGACCUACCACCGAUCCUGCCACGCGUCAACCGACUAAUCGUUCCUGCAGUGUUCUGGAGUGGUGACGGUGGAGCUCAAUGGGAGGCUCCGGGAGAGUUGACAAUCACGGGCUCACACGGGGAGAAAUCAAUUCCAGAACCAGAUGCAGACACACCCGGAGCCUACAAACUACCACCGCCGAGCAAGGACUAACAGUCACAUGAGGAGAUCAAAUAACAGCAGGAUUUGAAUCGGUUCUGUUUUGGUUGUCCACCAUUAGAAAAAUAUUGUUUGUAUAAAUAACAUAUAUCAUAAUCAGCAACAGUUCGUAAAGUUUUCCACGAAUAAGGUUAAAGGAAUAUAUAAGGUAUGGAUAUGUGAUUGACAAAGCAAGGAGGGGUGUAUGCAGAGGUGGGUAGGAACGCGCUACAUUUACUCCGUUACAAAUACUUGAGUAACUUUUUGGAUAAAUUGUAAUUUUAGGAGUAGUUUUAUUGCAACAUACUUUUACUUUUAGUUGAGUAAAUAUUUGAAGAAAGAACGGUACUUUUACGCCGUUCCAUUUGGCAACGUGACGGUCGUUACUUUGUUUUUUUAGAUCUUUUCUUUUAUUACAUGCGAGAUCUAUUUCUAUCACGUGAAUAUUCCUUAGCCCAAGUGAAGGAGUUCAAGUACCUCGGGGUCUUGUUCGCGAGUGAGGGUACUAUUGAGAAUGAGAUUGGCCGGAGAAUCGGAGCAGCGGGGGCGGUAUUGCGUUCGCUUUACCGCACCAUUGUUACGAAAAGAGAGCUGAGUCGCAAGGCAAAGCUCUCGAUCUACUGGUCGAUCUUUGUUCCUAUCCUCACCUAUGGUCAUGAGGGUUGGGUGAUGGCCGAAAGGACGAGAUCGCGGGUACAAGCGGCCGAGAGGCAAUUGAAUAACGCCUGCACACACACAGGCACGCACGCACGCACAACGCAGAGUGGUAAUCGGGAGAGUUGGGAAAAUUCCCUGUGGCCCGUUAACGUUUCGGGGGGCGCCGGGUCAACGUCGCAACCAAUUCGGUUUUGUCUAGAGGGGAGUAACUGAGCGCCCCCUCCCGAAGUGGCACAGCCAAGGUCGGCCUUGAACUGCGAUUGGUCAGAAAGACGAUACAGCUAAUGACAACAUUGAACUCUCAUGCAGGCUCGAACAGAGUGACACACGCACGCACGCACACACAGUUUUUCACCCACUCCGUAUCCAGCUUAUUCCAUGCUUAAAGCACCCAGGCUACUAUGCGGCGAGCUGGGGCUCUCAUGUUCUCCCCUGCGGUGUAUUGCUUGUCCGCAUCCCCUGCCAUCCAGUUGUCAUACGAUUCAUGCAGACUGGUUUUGAACGGCUGAUUCCAUGGAUGUACUUUGUUAAUAAUGUUAGUUAACAGUUAUACGUGUAUUGGUUUUAAUUAAUAUAAUUUUGAAUAAACCGAAUUUAUUUUAAUUUUAUUUAAAGGUUGAUGUAUUUAAUUUUGCAAAGAUUUAAUUUGUUAUUGUUUUAGUUCAAGGGUUAUGCAUUUUAUUUUUAAAGACCUUAUUUAUUUUAUUUAAAAGGAUGUUAUUUACAUUCUCUUUAUUUGAACAUUGCUGUUUUAUAUUUUGGUGUCUAUUUUGUACCGUUUGUGUUGCUCUGUUUAUUUAAAAAAUAAAUCGGAGAAACUCAGUACUUGUCUUUUCACUGCAUACUUUUUUACUCUUACUUGAGUAAUUAUUUUUACGAGUACUUUUACUUCUACUUGAGUAUUUAUAAUCUUAAAGUAACAGUACUUUUACUUGAGUACAUUUUUAAGCUACUCUGCCCACCACUGGGUGUAUGCGAUGAUAGGCACAACAUGAACAUGUUGUACUUUUAUCCCCAAUAACACAGCUCCGAAUGGGUUGGUGACCAGGGCGCUGGCAUGAUUACAAUCCCUCAGGUUCGAUUUGGCAGAGAACUCCGGCAUUAAUGAUCCUUUCACAGGAUGGAUGGAGAAUAUGUUUGGGAGGUGGAAAGGCAUGAUCCAGUAAGUGCCCGUCGCUGGAAUAAUGGCAGAGACCGUGUUAAUUGUCACCGGCUGCCGUUGUAUUCCCUGCGCACGAGGGCUACUGCAUCUGCUGAUCACCACAGCUAUGAGCGCUACAGAAGCGCCAAGUGCCAUUCAGGCUUACAUGGGGAACAGAUAUGAUCCGAUGAAAGUGAACGAUACAUCACCUGAGGGGCCCGACCCUAUCCAGCUGUAAUAUGUAGAAUAGUCAACACCUAUACUAUUCUAGUAGAAGCGCCUGUAUAUAAGAUAAUCAAUAUCCUGGAUUUACUUGAAUAACUAAUUAUUGAACCACCAAGACGGGUUGUGUUUGUUAUUAUAUAGUAUUGUUUGGUUGCGAGUGCAACCCGUUAUUUCUGUAUCGCUGCAUUGAUAAUGGUACUGUUGAUCUUCUUUGAGACGGUUGUUUACAGGCUUCCUGUUGCUGACACGAUGACGAUUGAACGCCUGAAGGAGGCUCCCAUGAUGUGAAAGUAAACUCUCUGUGAGCUGAGCCCUUGACAAGGAGGGACGAGUCUUGGGUUCAUGAAUUACAGGCCCCGACGGCGACAGAAGAAACAAUGGCUGCGAUUACAACAAUGUCCAAAACCACCCACAUGCAACAGCGCACCAAUACACGAAGAUCACCUGAACCACCCAAAUCCAUGCUAGCCUAUCAAUAUCUUGAUUUUUUUUACAUUUUUAUUAUGAC